CGGCAUCUCCGUGUCCCUGUGACUCGAGACCGCGGCUGUCGGGUCUCCCCCUCUCUGACCCUGCGUCUCUGUCCCCGCUGUGUCCGCCCUCUCUCCGUGACUCUGUGUCUCUCGCUGUCUUGCUGUGGCUGUCACUCCCAGGCUGUCCCCCAGUGAGUCCUGCUCUCCGUCUGCAUGUGUCCCUCUCCCUUGUCGCUGACUCCUCGGCUCUCUCCGGGGCUGUUUCUCCAUCCUGUCCCGCCUCUGCCUGUCCUUGCCUUUCUGCCUCCCCAGCCCCAGAAUUUCCAUCCCUGCACCCUGCAAGUCCACCUCUCUCCUCUCCUCUCCUCCUAAGACCUGCCUUCCUCCUCUCCCCUCUCAUACCCAAGCUGGCCUCCCUUGGUUCCCUCGGUACUUCCUGGACUCUACCUCGGAAACUUCAUUGAUGCCAAAGACCUGGAUCAGCUGGGCCGAAAUAAGAUCACACACAUCAUCUCUAUCCAUGAGUCACCCCAGCCUCUGCUGCAGGAUAUCACCUACCUUCGCAUCCCGGUCGCUGAUACCCCUGAGGUACCCAUCAAAAAGCACUUCAAAGAAUGUAUCAACUUCAUCCACUGCUGCCGCCUUAAUGGGGGGAACUGCCUUGUGCACUGCUUUGCAGGCAUCUCUCGCAGCACCACGAUUGUGACAGCGUAUGUGAUGACUGUGACGGGGCUAGGCUGGCGGGACGUGCUUGAAGCCAUCAAGGCCACCAGGCCCAUCGCCAACCCCAACCCAGGCUUUAGGCAGCAGCUUGAAGAGUUUGGCUG
rnacentral:sRNA from 1 species